GACAGAGGUGCCGAGCGUUAGGCGGAAUCACUGGGCUUAAAGCGUGUGUAGGCGGACUUCUAAGUGCCUUGUGAAAUCCCACGGCUCACCCGUGGAACUGCUGGGCAUACUGGGAGUCUUGAGCCACUUAGGGGCAACUGGAACAAACGGUGGAGCGGUGAAAUGCGUAGAUAUCAUUUGGAACGCCAAUGGUGAAAACAGCUCGCUGGGAAUGAUCUGACGCUGAGACGCGAAAGCCAGGGGAGCGAACGGG
rnacentral:rRNA from 1 species